UUGGUCGACGUCCCAACGUCCACGCGCCAGAGCUUCUAAAAAACCGAGCGCUUAUUGGUCAGUCGUCCAGUGACGACAUCGGAACCCCUGAGAGGAGAGCGCUCAUUGGUUUGACAGCAGAUGCGAGGUUAUAAGGAGGGGUUCUGGAGCAAAAUGAAGAGAAACAGACGUCAGAGGAAUUAAACUUCACCCCCUUUCAAUUGUUCUCGGGUUUCGAGUCAUUUAGCUUCUCCUGAUGGCAUCAUGGUGGCUGGCCACAGACUUCAGCAGUUCCUCUAAGAUCCCGAAGAUGAUUGUGAGAUAUAAUCUCUCCAACAGGUUCUGGGUCUUCCCUGGGGUCUCCACCCAGUGGGAUAUGCCUGAUACCUCCUCAACUGGCUCCUCUUUGUCUGCCAAAUCUCCGAGGCUUUCCCAGACUGUUGAGCUGAGAAGGUCGGCCAAGGCUUCUACAUCUCCUGCCACAGAUUAAGCAUAGCAUUAUGACCACCUGCCUAAUGUUGUGUUGGUCCCUCUUUUGCUGCCUAAACAGCCCUGUUGCCCAUCCUGCACUGUGUAUUCUGACCCCUUUCUAUCAGAGCCAGCAUUAACUUCUUCAGCCGUUUGAGCAACAGUAGCUCGUCUGUUGGAUCGGAUCACACGGGUCAGCCUUCGCUCCCCAUGUCCAUCAAUGAGUCUUGGCUGCCUAUGAUCCUGUCUCCGGUUCACCACUGUUCCUUUCUUGGACCACUUUUGAUAGAUACUGACCACUGCAGACCCCCACAAGAGCUGCAGUUUUGGAGAUGCUCUGAUCCAGUCGUCUAGCCAUCACAAUUUUGUCAAACUCGCUCAAAUCCUUACGCUUGUCCAUUUUUCCUGCUUCUAACAUCAACUUUGAGGGACAAAAUACAAAUUCACUUGCUGCCUAAUAUAUCCCACCCACUAACAGGUGCCAUGAUGAGGAGAUCAUCAGUGUUAGUCACGUCACCUGGCACUGCUCAUAAUGUUAUGCCUGAUCAGUGUACACUAUAUGGCCAAAAGUAUAAGGACACCUGACCAAUCAAACCCAUAUGCGCUUUCUGAAAAUCCCCAUUCCAGAUUUCAGCUCUGCCCCAAGUUCUCCAACCUAGUAAGGUUCUAAAACUAUCUACAUUUACAUUUGGAGGACACCCUUAUCCAGAGCAACUUGCAUUUCUUAACUCAUUUCAUACAACUGAGCAAUUGAGGGUUAAGGGUCUUGCUCAGGAAUCCAGCUUGAUGGACCCCACCCCCCACCCCCCAUUCUUUAUCCAAAGCCAAUUACAAUCGAAACACUACAGUUCACAAUCUUCUGACCAGCAGACAACUAGCCUUAACUACCUCACAGCUCUACUCCAAAGUUUUCCCAAAUAGAAAUUUCAGCUCCUCUUGGGGGAUCCCCAGACAUCCCUAAGCCAAUUGUUGAAAUAUAAGCUCUCCAGCCAGGCCCGGGUCUGGCUGAUCCAGUUCUAUUGGGAGUUGAAUACAGGACAAACAGAUUUGUCUUAUAUUUCAUCUAAAUUACCGACAGAAGCUUGACGAGCUCCUGCUUUGUUACCGACAUCCGUCCCGAUGUCAGCGAGAUCGGUGCAUCGUAUCUCGAACCCAACUCUGGAGGCUGAUAUUCACGACACGACGUCAUUUAAUAAAAAACAACUUUUAUUUCCUUUUUAAAAAAUAACCCUCCCCCCAACACUAUUACAUUACAGAGCCAAAAUAACUUUGUUCAUGUGUACUUCCGAAUCAGCCUGUUGGGAAGUGCUAAGAUAAGGGCCGUCGUUUUGCAGUGGCUUUGUAUUGCUUUUAUAGUGAGGCUGAGUCAAGUUCCAUCUCCAGUUCCUUCUCUUUGGGUCUAAAGGGGCUUGUUUUUUUUUUUUCUUCUUUCUUUUCUCUCCCCUCUCAUUUGAUUUGUGAGUUUAAGUACUGCAUCAUGAUAUAAAACUGCUGGAUCGGACCAGACCAGAUCAGAUCAGAGCCCUCACAAUUCUAUAGGCCCAACCGUCAGCGGCCAUUUCAAGUUAUAAAUACAUUUCGAGUUGGCUGAAACAUAAUACUCAUUUUUUUUU